rnacentral:rRNA from 1 species
ACGAACGCUGGCGGCGUGCCUAAUACAUGCAAGUAGAACGCUGAAGGAGGAGCUUGCUUCUCUGGAUGAGUUGCGAACGGGUGAGUAACGCGUAGGUAACCUGCCUGGUAGCGGGGGAUAACUAUUGGAAACGAUAGCUAAUACCGCAUAAUAGUAGAUGUUGCAUGACAUUUGCUUAAAAGGUGCAAUUGCAUCACUACCAGAUGGACCUGCGUUGUAUUAGCUAGUUGGUGGGGUAACGGCUCACCAAGGCGACGAUACAUAGCCGACCUGAGAGGGUGAUCGGCCACACUGGGACUGAGACACGGCCCAGACUCCUACGGGAGGCAGCAGUAGGGAAUCUUCGGCAAUGGACGGAAGUCUGACCGAGCAACGCCGCGUGAGUGAAGAAGGUUUUCGGAUCGUAAAGCUCUGUUGUAAGAGAAGAACGAGUGUGAGAGUGGAAAGUUCACACUGUGACGGUGUCUUACCAGAAGGGGACGGCUAACUACGUG